GAUGAACGCUGGCGGCGUGCUUAACACAUGCAAGUCGAACGGAAAGGCCCAAGCUUGCUUGGGUACUCGAGUGGCGAACGGGUGAGUAACACGUGGGUGAUCUGCCCUGCACUUCGGGAUAAGCCUGGGAAACUGGGUCUAAUACCGGAUAGGACCACUUCUUGGAUGUUGAGGUGGAAAGUUUUCUCGGUGUGGGAUGAGCUCGCGGCCUAUCAGCUUGUUGGUGGGGUAAUGGCCUACCAAGGCGUCGACGGGUAGCCGGCCUGAGAGGGUGUACGGCCACAUUGGGACUGAGAUACGGCCCAGACUCCUACGGGAGGCAGCAAUGGGGAAUAUUGCACAAUGGGCGCAAGCCUGAUGCAGCGACGCCGCGUGGGGGAUGACGGCCUUCGGGUUGUAAACUCCUUUCGCUAGGGACGAAGCGUUUUUGUGACGGUACCUGGAGAAGAAGCACCGGCUAACUACGUG
rnacentral:rRNA from 1 species